CCUACGGGAGGCAGCAGUGGGGAAUAUUGCACAAUGGGCGCAAGCCUGAUGCAGCCAUGCCGCGUGUGUGAAGAAGGCCUUCGGGUUGUAAAGCACUUUCAGCGGGGAGGAAGGCGUUAAGGUUAAUAACCUUGGCGAUUGACGUUACCCGCAGAAGAAGCACCGGCUAACUCCGUGCCAGCAGCCGCGGUAAUACGGAGGGUGCAAGCGUUAAUCGGAAUACUGGGCGUAAAGCGCACGCAGGCGGUCUGUCAAGUCGGAUGUGAAAUCCCCGGGCUCAACCUGGGAACUGCAUUCGAAACUGGCAGGCUAGAGUCUUGUAGAGGGGGGUAGAAUUCCAGGUGUAGCGGUGAAAUGCGUAGAGAUCUGGAGGAAUACCGGUGGCGAAGGCGGCCCCCUGGACAAAGACUGACGCUCAGGUGCGAAAGCGUGGGGAGCAAACAGGAUUAGAUACCCCUGUAGUC
rnacentral:rRNA from 1 species